rnacentral:rRNA from 1 species
GACGAACGCUGGCGGCGCUUCUAACACAUGCAAGUCGAACGAGCGAGAGAGAGCUUGCUUUCUCAAGCGAGUGGCGAACGGGUGAGUAACGCGUGAGGAACCUGCCUCAAAGAGGGGGACAACAGUUGGAAACGACUGCUAAUACCGCAUAAGCCCACGACCCGGCAUCGGGUUGAGGGAAAAGGAGCAAUCCGCUUUGAGAUGGCCCCGCGUCCGAUUAGCUGGUUGGUGAGGUAACGGCCCACCAAGGCAACGAUCGGUAGCCGGACUGAGAGGUUGAACGGCCACAUUGGGACUGAGACACGGCCCAGACUCCUACGGGAGGCAGCAGUGGGGAAUAUUGCACAAUGGGGGAAACCCUGAUGCAGCGACGCCGCGUGGAGGAAGAAGGUCUUCGGAUUGUAAACUCCUGUUGUUGAGGAAGAUGAUGACGGUACUCAACAAGGAAGUGACGGCUAACUACGUGCCAGCAGCCGCGGUAAAACGUAGGUCACAAGCGUUGUCCGGAAUUACUGGGUGUAAAGGGAGCGCAGGCGGGAAGACAAGUUGGAAGUGAAAUCUAUGGGCUCAACCCAUAAACUGCUUUCAAAACUGUUUUUCUUGAGUAGUGCAGAGGUAGGCGGAAUUCCCGGUGUAGCGGUGGAAUGCGUAGAUAUCGGGAGGAACACCAGUGGCGAAGGCGGCCUACCGGGCACCAACUGACGCUGAGGCUCGAAAGUGUGGGUAGCANACAGG